rnacentral:rRNA from 1 species
UAACACAUGCAAGUCGAACGGAGAUUCAGCAAUGGAUCUUAGUGGCGAACGGGUGAGUAACACGUAGACAACCUGCCUCCAGAUGGGGACAACAAUCCGAAAGGGUUGCUAAUACCGAAUGUGCUAUUUUCCCACAUGAGAGAAUAAGGAAAGAUGGCCUCUAUAUAAAAAGCUAUCGCUGGAAGAUGGGUCUGCGUCUGAUUAGCUAGUUGGUGAGGUAAAGGCUCACCAAGGCGACGAUCAGUAGCCGGUCUGAGAGGAUGAACGGCCACAUUGGGACUGAGACACGGCCCAAACUCCUACGGGAGGCAGCAGUGGGGAAUCUUCCACAAUGGACGAAAGUCUGAUGGAGCAACGCCGCGUGAAGUGAAGAAGGCUUUCGGGUCGUAAAACUCUGUCUUCGGGGACGAAUGUAUAGCUUGUGAAUAAUGAGUUAUAAUGACGGUACCCGAGGAGGAAGCCACGGCUAACUACGUGCCAGCCGCCGC